rnacentral:rRNA from 1 species
AAUCAACGCUGGCGGCGUGCCUAACACAUGCAAGUCGAACGCGAAAAUUCCUUCGGGGAUGAGUAGAGUGGCGUCCGGGUGAGUAACGCGUGGGUAAUCUGCCUUCGGGUGGGAGUAACCACGGAACGUAGGCGUAUACCGCAUAAUAGCAGCGGCUCGACAUCGAGACAGUUGUUAAAGUACAGCAAUGCGCCUGAAGAGGAGCCUGCGUCUGAUUAGUCAGUUGGUAAGGUAAUGGCUUACCAAGGCUACGAUCAGUAGCUGGUCUGAGA